AAUCUAUCUGAGCCUGACAAACAGCCAUUUGGCAACGCAGCUGUUAAAUAAAUUUGUGAUUCCACCCGGGCGCCAUGAAGUCGCGUGGGCGGGAAACCAUGAAACCAGUCUUGGUGGCAACUGUAACAGGCAACUGAGCUCACUGGAAUUUACUAAUGUGAAUAGAAAUUGUUAGUGGGUACAGAGUGUGAAAAACAAUUCACCAUAUUUUGCAUCUCUACUACCUAGAAUUUAAUUGGUUAAGUACCAAAAGAGUGGACGUCUGCCCAAAGUAGGUUUAGUUGCGAGCGUUUAUAUUAAACAAGUUUGUGGCCAGUGCGAAUGCAGAACCGACCGCGUCGUCUCCCCACCUUGCUCGGGCUUCCCUCGCAACCAGGUCAUCGUUAACUUGCCCGACCGCUACGCCACCGACUCGUGGGCCAACGCAGACCACACCCCGGCCAAUAAUAAUUUGAAAAAAACAAGUAUAAUGAAUCAAGAAAUCUUAAACCCACUACAAUGCCUUGCCUAGGUCCUAGAUACCAUAAGCUACAUCACUAACGCAGCAUUAAUAACAUUCACAUUGGUACCUAUUUAUUAAUACUGGCAUUAAGAGAAUGGCGUCAUUCUUCGUGAAUUCCGGCGUUCACGUAUCAACGACCAAAAUACGCCGUAUGUAUGAAUGUGACAAUAAUAUUCGUGAGUCACAUCGAGUUGGGUAG